rnacentral:rRNA from 1 species
GCUGGCGGCGUGCCUAAUACAUGCAAGUCGAGCGAACUGAUUAGAAGCUUGCUUCUAUGACGUUAGCGGCGGACGGGUGAGUAACACGUGGGCAACCUGCCUGUAAGACUGGGAUAACUUCGGGAAACCGAAGCUAAUACCGGAUAGGAUCUUCUCCUUCAUGGGAGAUGAUUGAAAGAUGGUUUCGGCUAUCACUUACAGAUGGGCCCGCGGUGCAUUAGCUAGUUGGUGAGGUAACGGCUCACCAAGGCAACGAUGCAUAGCCGACCUGAGAGGGUGAUCGGCCACACUGGGACUGAGACACGGCCCAGACUCCUACGGGAGGCAGCAGUAGGGAAUCUUCCGCAAUGGACGAAAGUCUGACGGAGCAACGCCGCGUGAGUGAUGAAGGCUUUCGGGUCGUAAAACUCUGUUGUUAGGGAAGAACAAGUACGAGAGUAACUGCUCGUACCUUGACGGUACCUAACCAGAAAGCCACGGCUAACUACGUGCCAGCAGCCGCGGUAAUAC